CCUCAUUCGGGUCACUUUCAGGUUUGACACUUUGGUGGAAGAUUUGGUUUGUGAUUGUUGUGCUCCCCGUUCCCCCGCUUAAGCUCAUUCUAACAACUUCUAAGGCCAAGGUAAUCAAGCGAACCAAAGGCAUGAUGGAUGAUUGCAUUGCAUGUGAUAGGAAUGAGCUUGGACUUUUGUGGAUCCGUGAUUCAUUGCACCCGUUUGUGGGUUAUGCUUAGGAUCG